AUUGAACGCUGGCGGAAUGCUUUACACAUGCAAGUCGAACGGCAGCACGGACUCCGGUCUGGUGGCGAGUGGCGAACGGGUGAGUAAUACAUCGGAACGUGCCCAGUCGUGGGGGAUAACGUAGCGAAAGCUACGCUAAUACCGCAUACGAUCUAAGGAUGAAAGCGGGGGAUCGCAAGACCUCGCGCGAUUGGAGCGGCCGAUGGCAGAUUAGGUAGUUGGUGGGGUAAAGGCUCACCAAGCCGACGAUCUGUAGCUGGUCUGAGAGGACGACCAGCCAAACUGGGACUGAGACACUGCCCAGACUCCUACGGGAGGCAGCAGUGGGGAAUUUUGGACAAUGGGCGCAAGCCUGAUUCAGCCAUUCCGCGUGCAGGAUGAAGGCCCUCGGGUUGUAAACUGCUUUUGUACGGAACGAAAAGGCUCUGGUUAAUACCCGGGGCUCAUGACGGUACCGUAAGAAUAAGCACCGGCUAACUACGUGCCAGCCGCCGCAGUAA
rnacentral:rRNA from 1 species